rnacentral:rRNA from 1 species
CAAAAACAUGGCUUCUUGGGGUAAGCAUAAAAGAGGUCUGGCCUGCCCGGUGGAUGAAAAUCUUAACGGUCGCAGCUACUACUGUGCGAAGGUAGCGUAAUUGGUCGUCCUUUAAUUGGGGGAGAGUAUGAAUGGUCGGAUGUUGGAAAAGCUUUAUUUGGAAUGAGGGCUGAAGUUUACUUCUUAGUGCAAAGGCUAGGAUGGGUAUAUUAGACGAGAAGACCCUGUUGAGCUUGGUAGGGUCGAUUGGUAAUUCGGUUGAAGGUAUGUUUUUUCGGGGCUGAAAGGAAGGGAUAUAAUGCCUUCUAGAAUAAAGUAUUGAUCCAGUAAGAUUGAAAAGAAGAAGAUAGCUACCACAGGGAUAACAGCGCAAUCUCCUUGAUAAGGCCAUAUUUUAUGGGAGGUUUGCGACCUCGAUGUUGAAUCAAGAUUCCUAUCAGGUGUAGCAGCUUGGUAAGUAGGACUGUUCGCCCUUUGAAAUUUUACGCGA